rnacentral:rRNA from 1 species
CAGUAGCCGGUAACACGGAGGGGGCUAGCGUUGUUCGGAAUUACUGGGCGUAAAGCGCACGUAGGCGGCUUGGUAAGUUAGAGGUGAAAGCCUGGAGCUCAACUCCAGAAUUGCCUUUAAGACUGCCGAGCUAGCAGGUGAGAGAGGUAAGUGGAAUUCCGAGUGUAGAGGUGAAAUUCGUAGAUAUUCGGAAGAACACCAGUGGCGAAGGCGGCUUACUGGCUCAUACUGGACGCUGAGGUGCGAAAGCGUGGGGAGCAAACAGGAUUAGAUACCCGUGUAGUCCCUGUCUCUUAUACAC